AUGUCUAAGAUCGGACGGUGCUAUCGACCUGCUGCAUCCUCUGGAAUAUCAUUUGAUAAUUUUCCACAUCACAAAAUUGGCUUAAAGCUUGGUGUUCCAGGCAUGCUGCUCCGAAAAAUUAAACCGACCACCGUUUGGGUUACGCAACUGAACUCGCUUGCUACUCGCAAGCCUGGGUGGACUCGGUGCUGGAAGGGAGAUCAUUACAGGUUCAAAUAUGGUCAGCGUGUCUGUAUUCCUUGGAUUGUUGUGAGUUCACCGGGUUGUAUGACUUGCAUUGAUGCCCUGCCCCCUCUUCUUAUAGCUUUGUCCAGCGUCUCUCCGCUCUCGACCAGCGAGGUGCCUAUGCGCCCCCUCGUUCCUUUGGGCUUCAUCUGGCCCGUACGAGCAGAACCCAUAGCCGCCAUGCUCCCGUGGUACGUCGGCGGCACCCUGGUGGCAUCGAAGAGAUUUGUGUGCUCCUCAAAGGCAGGCCCAUGGCUAUCACCGGGGCUAGUGUGGCGGCGAGGGCAUGGCAAUGAGAAGACAAGAAAAAUCGCCAUCAUCAUGUUUGAACCCGCCGGCUUUCGAGACACGCAAGGAUGCAUGUUGCGCGUCUUCGUGGGGCUGUCCAGCCAUGGUGACUUCUCCGGGGCGCGUGUGGUGGUGCAUCGCCCUCCUUUCGCUGUGUGGUCAUCCUCUUCGGAGGUCGCGGUUGUCUACUGCCUGCUCGAGCUAGGCCCGGUUCAGAUGAGGUGCGGUGUGGGCAGGAUGGAUGCAGUCGAAUUUGGACUGUGGUGCCAUAGAUCUGGACAGGUGCGGCGGUGGGGCUGUCAUGGCCCUUUAUGUGGUUCCGUCUCAAUCAGCAUGCCACGAGACGGAUUGUUCGGCUACAGCCAGAUGGACGGUGAAAUUUGUGCUUGGAUUUUUGUCGGGCUGACGAUGACGACACCUUUGGGCGUCGCAUACCUUGUUGAAGGUGUCGUCGACGUCGUUCUUGCCUACCUGACCGCUGAUCUGGGGAAACCCGAGAUCUAG
rnacentral:rRNA from 1 species